UUUCCGUAGGUGAACCUGCGGAAGGAUCAUUCAUUAUAAAGUGUUUUAUGGCACUUUUUAAAAAUCCAUAUCCACCUUGUGUGCAAUGUUAGAUCGCGUCAAGCUGGGCGAGAUUUUUAGACAUCAACUCAUUUUUAACUAAUUUGUCUGAAAACUAUUAUGAAUACUUAAUUCAAAAUACAACUUUCAACAACGGAUCUCUUGGCUCUC
rnacentral:misc_RNA from 1 species